rnacentral:rRNA from 1 species
GUCUACGGCGAUGCCAUUCUGAACAAGCCCGAUGUCUGAUCUUGGAGCUGAGCAGGGUUGAGACUGGUUAGUACUUGGAUGGGAGACCACCUAGGAAGACCAGGUGCUGUAGGCA